GAUUUUUACGGUCUGAGCGAAGCGAGCGCCUCGAUUUCGCUCGAAUUGGAAUUUCCCAUUUCUCUUAGAGAUGAACACAAAGUUUUUCAUGCGUGCACGUUGUGUUUUUCCGUUUUUCUCCACGAAACAAAAACAUCCAUUCGCCA